ACUCUGACUCGAAGGUGGGGGUGUCUGGUUGUCGAGCGGGCGCAUUCGUGUUCGGUCGGGGGCUGGGGGCUUUUGCAAUACUUUACCUUUUUUACUUUGAAAAAACUAGAGUGUUCAAGGCAGGCCUUAGGGCCAUUGAAUAUUGCAGCAUGGGAUAAUGGAAGAGGACAAUUGUUCUUAUUUUGUUGGUUUUUUAAGACGAUUGUAAUGAUUAAAGGGGACAGUUGGGGUGGUUUGUAUUGCGGUGUCAGAGGUGAAAUUCUUAGAUUACCGUAAGACAGACUUCUGCGAAAGCAAUCCACUAGGAUGUUUUCAUCAAUCAAGAACGAAAGUUGAGGGAUCGAAGACGAUCAGAUACCGUCGUAGUCUCAACCAUAAACAAUGCCGACCAAGGAUUGGAGAGUGUUAAACAAUAUGACUUCCCCAGCACUUUGCGAGAAAUCACAAGUCUUUGGGUUCCGGGGGGAGUAUGGUCGCAAGGCUGAAACUUAAAGGAAUUGACGGAAGGGCACCACCAGGCGUGGAGCCUGCGGCUUAAUUUGACUCAACACGGGGAAACUUACCAGGUCCAGACAGCGUGAGGAUUGACAGAUUGAAAGCUCUUUCAUGAUUCGUUGGGUGGUGGUGCAUGGCCGUUCUUAGUUGGUGGUGUGAAUUGUCUGGUUGAUUCCGUUAACGAACGAGACCUUGACCUAUUAAAUAGUCACUGGAAGAUAUUGCACUAAGGCGUGCGUGGCUCACCUGAGGAAGGAUUCGUUCCCCUUGGGUGGAUUGUUCGCGUACGUUGCACUUUUUCCAGGAAGUACUUCUUAGGGGGACUAUUUUGCGACAAGCAAAUGGAAGUUCGAGGCAAAAACAGGUCUGUGAUGCCCUUCGAUGUUCUGGGCUGCACGCGCGCUACACUGACAAAGUCAACGAGUUUACAACCUUGCCCGAAAGGGCUGGGUAAUCUUUUGAAACUUUGUCGUGAUGGGGAUAGAUGAUUGCAAUUAUUCGUCUUAAACGAGGAAUGCCUAGUAAGCGCGGUUCAUCAGACCGCGUUGAUUACGUCCCUGCCCUUUGUACACACCGCCCGUCGCUCCUACCGAUUGAAUGGUCCGGUGAAAUCUUCGGAUCACGAGGUCGUCUGUUCAGUGGUUCUGCUGCUGUCAGCGCUCGAGAGAGGUUGAUUAAACCUU
rnacentral:rRNA from 1 species